CCUGCCUACGGGGGGCAGCAGUGAGGAAUAUUGGUCAAUGGCCGGAAGGCUGAACCAGCCAAGCCGCGUGAAGGACGAAGGUGCCAAGCAUUGUAAACUUCUUUUGUCAAGGGACAAAAUCAGGCUCGAGAGCCUGACCGAGGGUACUUGAAGAAAAAGCAUCGGCUAACUCCGUGCCAGCAGCCGCGGUAAUACGGAGGAUGCGAGCGUUAUCCGGAUUUAUUGGGUUUAAAGGGUGCGCAGGCGGUCUGUUAAGUCUGGAGUGAAAGGUACCGGCUCAACCGGUACAGGCUCUGGCAACUGGG
rnacentral:rRNA from 1 species